rnacentral:tRNA from 1 species
GACCCGGUAGCACAGUGGUAGUGCGAUGGAAGCUCAAUCCGUCGACGCGGGUUCGAUUCCCGCCCGGGUCA